CUGUGCGCUCUGUCCUGCGGGACUAGCCUUGCGUGCCGCGCCCGAGGCAAAUGCCAACCGCCGGAGGCGCGGUAUAUAAGCUGAGUCCCGCAGUGAUCUCUCUCGCUUCGCUCUCCACUCGGGAGCUACGUUGGACUGCCCAGUGCGCGACGUGUGCGUCCAUACCUCCUACCCAAUAUCAUAUCUACCCGGAGUUCGGAAUCGCUCUGUCAUCUAUAUUCAUCGGAGGGAUGUGGGAAACUUUUCCCCUCCAACGCGGCCAGGCCGUGGCUGCCGCCGGACCCGGCGAACCGCUACGCGACCGCAUCGUCACCCCACCAGAUGAUGGGCGUAGAACCAUCCCUUCCGCCCCGCAUUGCCGGAGGCCGGGGGCGGAAUGCGGCAGCGGCCGCGCUGGGCCGCGCAAACAUCCGCAGGGGAGGACGCGGCGCGGCGAAACCACGGAGCGGCGCAGCAGCGCGACCAGCGGAGAGUCCAUGAGACCCAGGUGCCUCCGCCGGCGCGGGUGGACCCAGCCGGGCCACCUGGCACCGCCCCUGCGAGCUCAUCUUCUUCAUUACCUGUUACGAUCACCUGGCCGGCCGACUCCCACCGUUCGGCGCCGCCUGUCACUUGGAGGGGAACAACAACAACCCCUCUGGGCAGCAAUCAGGGCAGGCCGGCGGCCGGACGGACCGUUACUAGGUCGAGUCGGCGGCACCAUCUACUUCCUCGUUCUGCUCUGCACUGUUCUGCUCUGCACUGUUCUGCUCUGUCCUGUUCUGCCCUGCCAUGUUCUGUGCGCUCUGUCCUGCGGGACUAGCCUUGCGUGCCGCGCCCGAGGCAAAUGCCAACCGCCGGAGGCGCGGUAUAUAAGCUGAGUCCCGCAGUGAUCUCUCUCGCUUCGCUCUCCACUCGGGAGCUACGUUGGACUGCCCAGUGCGCGACGUGUGCGUCCAUACCUCCUACCCAAUAUCAUGUAAGUAAAAGGGCGCGGCCCUUAUUGGGGCCUUGUAUAUAGCCGUGACCAGUGUAAUAAUGUGUGCGCAUGUAAAUAAUUACCUUGAAAAUUUACACAGUCUGUUGUGGGACAAAUGGUGGGGGAGAGAAUGAACGGCGAACUGAACUGAACGGCACCGAAUUCGGCAAACGUAACAUAGAACGGCUCGGAAGCUCAAACAAACGCUACCUUUUAAACGUCACGGUUAACUUCG